UGUUUGUCCCCCUCUUCUUGUGGCUGUUGUCUUGCUGCUGUUUAUGGUGGAAUGAUUUGUGCUCUUGUUCUUCUGGAUAUCCUCCUGCUCUUGAAGAUUUGAUGUUACGGAUUUUGAUUGGAGAUUUCUGCAUAGUGUGUGUAUGUGAGGUUCCUCAGGAUGGAGAAUUCUACAUUCCUUUUCCUCAUGACCUUGAAGUCUGCAGUGUUUGCAAUAUCUUGCUUGGCCUUGUCUUGUUUGCUGUAGCCAGAUCUACUGUUAGCGAUUUUCCAACUGCUGUUGCAAUGGAAAAAACAGCCUCUUUAACAAAG